CAGCAGCCGCGGGAAUACGAAGGGGGCUAGCGUUGCUCGGAAUGACUGGGCGUAAAGGGCGCGUAGGCGGCGGCCAAAGUCAGGCGUGAAAUUCCCGGGCUCAACCUGGGGGCUGCGUUUGAUACUUGGUUGCUUGAGUGGGGAAGAGGGUCGUGGAAUUCCCAGUGUAGAGGUGAAAUUCGUAGAUAUCGGAAGGAACACCUGUGGCGAGAGCGGCUCACUGGACAAUAACUGACGCUGAUGCACGAAAGCUAGGGGAGCAAACAGGAUUAGAUACCCCAGUAGUCCCUGUCUCUUAUAC
rnacentral:rRNA from 1 species